rnacentral:rRNA from 1 species
AUGAUUCUUCGGAUGAAGUCUCUUGUGACUGAGUGGCGGACGGGUGAGUAACGCGUGGGUAACCUGCCUCACACAGGGGGAUAACAGUUGGAAACGACCGCUAAUACCGCAUAACCCGCUGGUGCCGCAUGGCACUGACGGAAAAGAUUUUAUCGGUGUGAGAUGGACCCGCGUCUGAUUAGCCAGUUGGCAGGGUAACGGCCUACCAAAGCGACGAUCAGUAGCCGGCCUGAGAGGGUGAACGGCCACAUUGGGACUGAGACACGGCCCAGACUCCUGCGGGAGGCAGCAGUGGGGAAUAUUGCACAAUGGGGGAAACCCUGAUGCAGCGACGCCGCGUGAGUGAAGAAGUAUUUCGGUAUGUAAAGCUCUAUCAGCAGGGAAGAAAAUGACGGUACCUGAUUAAGAAGCCCCGGCUAACUACGUGCCAGCAGCCGCGGUAAUACGUAGGGGGCAAGCGUUAUCCGGAUUUACUGGGUGUAAAGGGAGCGUAGACGGUGAUGCAAGUCAGAAGUGAAAGCCCGGGGCUCAACUCCGGGACUGCUUUUGAAACUGUGUGACUGGAGUGCAGGAGAGGUAAGCGGAAUUCCUGGUGUAGCGGUGAAAUGCGUAGAUAUCAGGAGGAACACCAGUGGCGAAGGCGGCUUACUGGACUGUAACUGACGUUGAGGCUCGAAAGCGUGGGGAGCAAACAGGAUUAGAUACCCUGGUAGUCCACG